rnacentral:rRNA from 1 species
AUUAGACGAAUCAUCUGGAAAGAUGAAUCAAAGAAGGUAAUAAUCCUGUAGUCGAAAAUGUUGUCUCUCUUGAGUGGAUCCUGAGUACGACGGAGCACGUGAAAUUCCGUCGGAAUCUGGGAGGACCAUCUCCUAAGGCUAAAUACUCUCUAGUGACCGAUAGUGAACCAGUACCGUGAGGGAAAGGUGAAAAGCACCCCGGAAGGGGAGUGAAAUAGAACCUGAAACCGUGUGCUUACAAGUAGUCAGAGCCCGUUAAUGGGUGAUGGCGUGCCUUUUGUAGAAUGAACCGGCGAGUUACGAUUUGAUGCAAGGUUAAGCAGUAAAUGUGGAGCCGUAGCGAAAGCGAGUCUGAAUAGGGCGUUUAGUAUUUGGUCGUAGACCCGAAACCAGGUGAUCUACCCUUGGUCAGGUUGAAGUUCAGGUAACACUGAAUGGAGGACCGAACCGACUUACGUUGAAAAGUGAGCGGAUGAACUGAGGGUAGCGGAGAAAUUCCAAUCGAACCUGGAGAUAGCUGGUUCUCUCCGAAAUAGCUUUAGGGCUAGCCUCAAGUGAUGAUUAUUGGAGGUAGAGCACUGUUUGGACGAGGGGCCCCUCUCGGGUUACCGAAUUCAGACAAACUCCGAAUGCCAAUUAAUUUAACUUGGGAGUCAGAACAUGGGUGAUAAGGUCCGUGUUCGAAAGGGAAACAGCCCAGACCACCAGCUAAGGUCCCAAAAUAUAUGUUAAGUGGAAAAGGAUGUGGCGUUGCCCAGACAACUAGGAUGUUGGCUUAGAAGCAGCCAUCAUUUAAAGAGUGCGUAAUAGCUCACUAGUCGAGUGACACUGCGCCGAAAAUGUACCGGGGCUAAACAUAUUACCGAAGCUGUGGAUUGUCCUUUGGACAAUGGUAGGAGAGCGUUCUAAGGGCGUUGAAGCAUGAUCGUAAGGACAUGUGGAGCGCUUAGAAGUGAGAAUGCCGGUGUGAGUAGCGAAAGACGGGUGAGAAUCCCGUCCACCGAUUGACUAAGGUUUCCAGAGGAAGGCUCGUCCGCUCUGGGUUAGUCGGGUCCUAAGCUGAGGCCGACAGGCGUAGGCGAUGGAUAACAGGUUGAUAUUCCUGUACCACCUAUAAUCGUUUUAAUCGAUGGGGGGACGCAGUAGGAUAGGCGAAGCGUGCGAUUGGAUUGCACGUCUAAGCAGUAAGGCUGAGUAUUAGGCAAAUCCGGUACUCGUUAAGGCUGAGCUGUGAUGGGGAGAAG